GUGGCUAUGACGAAAUUGGUAAACGUACUCGACUGUGACUCGAGUUUUUGCGGGUUCAAGUCCCGUUAGCCACC
rnacentral:tRNA from 1 species